UCAUGUUCCCUCUGGGCUUCGGGUUCCCCUAAAGUCCUGCCAGCUCAAUGAGACCACAUACCAACACGGAGAGAUCUUCAGUGCACAGGAGCUGGUCCCCACCCGCCUGUCCAGCCAGUGUGUCCUCUGUAGCUGUAUUGAAGGACACACCUACUGCGGUCUCAUGACCUGCCCUGACCCUGGCUGCCCCACCCCACUCCCUCUACCUGACUCCUGCUGUCAGACCCGCAAAGACAGGACAAGUGAGAGUUCAACUGAAGAAGACUUGGCGCAGUUGCAGCCCGGAGAGGUAAGUGUGCACACAGUUGUGCAGACCUGGUGGGGAGAGACGCUGCAGUCCCAGGCCAAAAGCCUGCAUGACCCUCAGCACUGGCUACCUGCUCCUGAUCCUGUAUCCCUCUGCCCACCCUAACUCCAAGGCCUGAGAGCUUCACUCUGGGUCAGCUACAUUGGCACCUCCAAGUUCCAGCCUCUCUCCCUAUCUGUCAUCAGGGUCCCUAUGAUGGCUGACGGGUCACAAGGGAACAGCUUGCCACACAAAGCAGGGUAAACCCCAGACUCCUUCGUUUGCCUCUGGGGAAUCUGGCUGGCACUGUUCUAUCCACAGCCUGUGUGUGUGUGAUCAACCCAAGCCGCUGAGGAAUGGCCUCUGGCUUGGUCCGUGCUUCUGGGCCUCAUUUCUAGGAUGCGGUGUCUUUGCCAGGGAUCUGCCUUUCUGCUCUCACCUCCAUCCUGGCUCCUGCCAAUCUUGCCUAGAAUUCAGAUGGCCCAGGCUUCCCAGCUCUCUGAGGUCUGAGAUGGGAGAGUGACCACAGCCCGACGCAGGUCCCCUACAGUUCCUUGGUGAAAACUCCUAUUCUUUCAGCCUGUGCUCCAGGAGCCUAGGACAGCCCAAGCUGGACUUCUGACCUUUCCUGCCCAGCCAAGGCAUCUAUGUGCCUUUGCCAGGCUGAUUUCUCAGGAGGGCACACAAACCUGAGCCUUUUGAUCUGCUCUUUCCCGCUUGUCCCUAGAAGGCAGUGUGUGGGGCCCGCAGGUUAGUGGAGACCCUGAGCUGCUCUUUCCACACUAACUGAGUGACCUGGGCUUGGACCAGUUGGGAGCCGCAUUCUUCAAGUCCUUCUUGCCUCCUCUCCACUGGGCCAGCAUCUCCUGGGCUCAGGCCUGCACUGGGGCCUGGGGUGUUUCUAUUCUGCAGACUGUCUCUGGGCCAUGAAAGAGACAGUGUGGAGUGGGAGCAGAUUGUAGAAGGCAGGGUAAGCGGCUUGUUGACGUCGAGAGAAAGAACAGGCCCUUCUUGCUCGUUUGUUUCACGCCCAGCCCUGCCAUUCCCAUUCUGUGACCUGGAGCCCAGUCCCCAAACUGAGCUGCAGAGAACCUGCCCCAUAAGCUGCCAUCCCCACCCUCACUUAAUUCUCUAACCCUACUAGAUCUGGUGUGGAGGGGCAGGGGGUAGGAGCAGAACCUGGGAGUGAGGGCAGAGGGGUGGGAAUAAGGCCUGGAACUUCCUGGGAUCUUCAGAGGCCCACUCUGUUGUCUCAUCAUCUGAAUUUUCCUAAGCAAUAAGUUGUCUCUAUUCCUGAUCCCAUAUUGCUCUUCCUGCACACCUACAGCAGCCCCAAGGUCUGGAGAAGGCUCUGGUGGAGGCUGGUUUGCUAAAUCCUUGUCAAGUGUGUUCAUUGAUUAGUCUGAGAAUAUCUUAUCUCUCACCCAGAUGGUUCUGUGUGAAACCCACGCAGAUCCUGCUCUCUCUCUCUCCCUCUCUCUCUCUCUCUCCCCCUUUCUUCUCCCUUUUCCUCUCCCUCUCUCUCUCU